rnacentral:rRNA from 1 species
UGGGGAAUAUUGCACAAUGGGCGCAAGCCUGAUGCAGCCAUGCCGCGUGAGUGAAGAAGGCCUUAGGGUUGUAAAACUCUUUCACCGGUGAAGAUAAUGACGGUAGCCGGAGAAGAAGCCCCGGCCAACUCCGUGCCAGCAGCCGCGGUAAUACGGAGGGGGCUAGCGUUGUUCGGAAUCACUGGGCGUAAAGCGCACGUAGGCGGUUUGGUUAGUUGGGGGUGAAAGCCCGAGGCUUAACCUCGGAACUGCCCUCAAUACUGCGAGUCAUGAGACCGGGAGAGGUGAGUGGAAUUCCUAGUGUAGAGGUGAAAUUCGUAGAUAUUAGGAAGAACACCAGUGGCGAAGGCGGCUCACUGGCCCGGUACUGACGCUGAGGUGCGAAAGCGUGGGGAGCAAACAGGAUUAGAUACCCCUGUAGUCC